rnacentral:rRNA from 1 species
UACGUAGGGUGCAAGCGUUGUCCGGAAUCACUGGGUGUAAAGCGCGUGUAGGUGGUUGGUCUAGUCUGGGGUGAAAGCGCUCGGCUUAACUGAGCGAGGUCCCUGGAAACUGGCCGACUGGAGGCCGGUAGAGGCGAGUGGAAUUCCCGGUGUAGUGGUGAAAUGCGUAGAGAUCGGGAGGAACACCAGUGGCGAAGGCGGCUCGCUGGGCCGGGCCUGACACUGAGACGCGAAGGCGUGGGGAGCGAACGGG